rnacentral:ncRNA from 1 species
UCACAGCUUAAUUCUGGCUGAACAAAAUUUUUGCAAAAAUGCUUCAUAUGGGAAUUUAAAUUUAUAAUCAGAAACCAGUGCUUUAUAUUCUCUAAUUAUUUAUAAAAGAACAAUUUUUAAUAGUGCUGGUCAAUAGGUGUGCCAGCAACCGCGGUUACACAUCAUGGCACAAAAAAUUUUACAUCGGAUAAACUUUAGUUAAAUAUAGACUAGAAUAUUCAAGUUAGAUUUAAAGGUGUAAUUUAGUAUAAUCUUCGAUAAAUUCUAUAUAUAAUUGAACCUAAAAAAAAUUUUAUUGCCCUUAACUAAAUUAUUUAUAAUUUAGUUUAAUUUUACUUAUAUAUAAGAGGAUUAGACACCCUAUUAAGAGAUUUAAAUACCAAAUCCAGAGUACUAACAGACCUACACCUCUAAACUCAAAGAAGAUGGCGGCUUUAGAAAUUAUAUUAGAGGGUCUUGUUUUUUUAAAAAGAUUCUACACAAAAAACCUUACUUUUUUUAAGGUUUUCAUACCGCCGUUUUCAAUUAAUAUGAUAACAUUUAAGUAUGCAAGCUAAUGUCUCAAAUGGAAAAAUUCAGGUCUAGGCGAAGCAAUAAAAAAGGAAGAAUGAGACUCAUUGAAAUUAAUGGUGUGAGUGAACUAAUUUAAAAAAUUACUAUUUCCAAAGAGAAUUUAAAAGUAAUAUUUCAUUAGAAAGGAAGUAUGAAUUUAAAAUAUAAAGUGUACAAAUUGCCCGUCAACCUCAAUAAAAUUGGGGUAAGUCGUAACAAAGUAGGUGUAUCGGAAGCUGUACCUAGACUUCA